rnacentral:rRNA from 1 species
CGUACCAAAGCCUAUCAAACUCCGAAUGCCAAAAAAUCAGGUCAUGGAGUCAGACUUAGAGGGAUAAGCUCCUAAGUCGAAAGGGAAAGAGCCCAGACCGACAGCUAAGGUCCCCAAAUCUGGAUUAAGUGGAAAAGGAUGUGAACCUACCAAGACAACCAGGACGUUGGCUUAGAAGCAGCCAUACAUUCAAAGAAUGCGUAAUAGCUCACUGGUCAAGUGGGUUUGCGCCGAAAAUAAACGGGGCUAAAAUCCAGUACCGAAGCUUCGGAUUGAUAGAGAAUUUAAAAUUGCUAGACCUAACUCAAUUUAUGAAAUAAAUUGUAAGUAGGUCAGCCGUCAGACUUUCCCAAGAGAGCAAAGCUCGAUUGGCAAGAAAGUUACGACGCUCAUCAACCUAACAAAGUAAUGAGAAAAAAGGUAAAACUUAGACGGAAAUAUUAAACACAAACAAGAUAAACGAGUUAUCGAAAAAUUACGCAAAUAUCAAACACUAAAGAAAAAGGUAAGUUGUAAAAGAACUCAAUUAUCACCGAACAAGCAGUCAUAAAACAAAAGUUAAAAAUGACAACUGGUUGAAAUAUCGUCAAAGUAUUUACCAGCAAUUUUAAACUCUCUAUCAGUGGUAGAGGAGCAUUGUAUUAGGGAAGAAGCCCAAGCGAAAGCAGGUGUGGACUUAAUACAAGAGAGAAUGCUGGCAUGAGUAGCGAGAAGGAGAGUGAGAAUCUCUCCCGUCGAAACCCUAAGGACUCCUGAGCAAGGCUCGUCCCCUCAGGGAAAGUCGGGACCUAAGGCCAGGCCGAAAGGCGUAGCCGAUGGACAACAGGUUUAGAUUCCUGUACCGCUUAAAGUCGUUAAAGAGACGUGAUGACGCAAGAGGAUAAGCUAGCUGCCUGAUGGAAGGCAGUCUAAGCACAAAGGCUUUUCAGUAGGCAAAUCCGCUGAUCAGCAGCCAAUGUGUAAUAGGCAUCGAAAACAUAAGUAGAGAAAUAGCCGACUUCAAAUUGCCAAGAAAAGUCACUAUCAAGACCAAAGCGCCCGUACCAAAACCGACACAGGUAGGGAGGUAGAGAAUACCAAGACGCGCGGAAGAACCUUUGUUAAGGAACUCGGCAAAAUGUCCCCGUAAGUUAGCGAGAAGGGGAGCCUGAGCGAUCAGGCCACAGAAACCAGGCCCAAGCGACUGUUUACCAAAAACACAAGUUUCUGCAAAAUCGAAAGAUGACGUAUAGGAGCUGACACCUGCCCGGUGCUGGAAGGUUAAGGGGAAGGCUUAGAGCAAUCGAAGGCUAGAACUUAAGCCCCAGUAAACGGCGGCCGUAACUAUAACGGUCCUAAGGUAGCGAAAUUCCUUGUCGGGUAAGUUCCGACCCGCACGAAAGGUGUAACGAUUUGGGCACUGUCUCAACAAAGGAUCCGGUGAAAUUGUAGUAGUCGUGAAGAUGCGACUUACCCACGCUAGGACGGAAAGACCCCGUGGAGCUUUACUGUAGGCUGAUAUUGGAUUUUGAGAUUAGACGUACAGGAUAGUUGGGAGACAAUGAAGUGUGUACGCCAGUAUACACAGAGUCACCCUUGGGAUACCAACCCUCUAAUAUCAAAAUUCUAACAUUGACCCAUGAAUCUGGGCAAUGGACAUUGUCAGUUUGGCAGUUUGACUGGGGCGGUCGCCUCCCAAAAAGUAACGGAGGCGUUCAAAGGUUCGCUCAGAAUGGACGGAAACCAUUCGCAGAGUACAAAGGCACAAGCGAGCUUAACUGCGAGAUAUACAGAUCAAGCAGAGUAGAAAUACGGACUUA